AAAUUGAAGAGUUUGAUCAUGGCUCAGAUUGAACGCUGGCGGCAGGCCUAACACAUGCAAGUCGAACGGUAACAGGAAGCAGCUUGCUGCUUUGCUGACGAGUGGCGGACGGGUGAGUAAUGUCUGGGAAACUGCCUGAUGGAGGGGGAUAACUACUGGAAACGGUGGCUAAUACCGCAUAACGUCGCAAGACCAAAGAGGGGGACCUUCGGGCCUCUUGCCAUCAGAUGUGCCCAGAUGGGAUUAGCUUGUUGGUGAGGUAACGGCUCACCAAGGCGACGAUCCCUAGCUGGUCUGAGAGGAUGACCAGCCACACUGGAACUGAGACACGGUCCAGACUCCUACGGGAGGCAGCAGUGGGGAAUAUUGCACAAUGGGCGCAAGCCUGAU
rnacentral:rRNA from 1 species